AUUUACGUAGCAAUAUUAAUAACAACAACACACGUGCCUUGUUCGACAGAUAUAUUGUUGUUUGUUACUUAAAAUUGCUUUAUUACGUGGUCUUUAUUUUGUUAACUUUAUUGAUUUUACAGUGGGUUAUUUUAUUAAUUCAUGGAUGUAAUAGUUCUUAAAGAUAUUUCUUCAAUGCGACUUGCGAAUGCGACUUCAGAAAUCUCACAUUUAUUCGUACAGCUAAUUUCAAGCAAAAACAUUUAUAUAUUGGACAGUGGAUUUAACACUAGAAAACUUUUUUUAUAAUUGAUGACAUAUUUUUAUAAACAUAGAUAUAUUGGAUUGUAAAAUAAAAUUUAUUUUUGUUAAUUUUUUGAAAAUAUUUAUAUCAAUUGUUU
rnacentral:lncRNA from 1 species